rnacentral:rRNA from 1 species
UACAGAGGGUGCGAGCGUUAAUCGGAAUUACUGGGCGUAAAGCGUGCGUAGACGGUUUCGUAAGUCGGGUGUGAAAGCCCCGGGCUCAACCUGGGAAUUGCAUUCGAGACUGCGUAGCUAGGGUGCGGAAGAGGGAAGCGAAAUUUCCGGUGUAGCGGUGAAAUGCGUAGAUAUCGGAAGGAACAUCAGUGGCGAAAGCGGCUUCCUGGUCCAGCACCGACGUUCAGGCACGAAAGCGUGGGGAGCAAACAGG